rnacentral:lncRNA from 1 species
ACAGGGAAAGAAAGCAGAAACUUCCAUUCUACCACCCAUGCUUGCUGCUGUUGUGUUUUUGAAUGCUGACCCGGGGUUGGCUUCCAGGUGCAGUGUUGAGGAAACCAUAUACUGGUACAUGGCAGCUGAAGUUAUGCAUUUUUGCUUCUUUGUAAUUUCUGCAUUUCCAGCAGGCAAGAGACAAUGCUGAUGCUACAGCACUGGAGCUUAGAAUUCACACUUCAUUGAUAAUAUGCAUAACUUUUUGAAAUAUCUUCUAAGUAAACACUUUUUAAAAUAUUGGGGUAGAAAACUAUAUGC